UAACCUGCCUUAUACAGGGGGAUAACAGUUGGAAACGACUGCUAAUACCGCAUAAGCGCACGGUAUCGCAUGAUACAGUGUGAAAAACUCCGGUGGUAUAAGAUGGACCCGCGUCUGAUUAGCUUGUUGGUGAGGGUAACGGGCCCCACCAAGGCGACGAUCGGUAGCCGGACUGAGAGGUUGAACGGCCACAUUGGGACUGAGACACGGCCCAGACUCCUACGGGAGGCAGCAGUGGGGAAUAUUGCACAAUGGGGGAAACCCUGAUGCAGCGACGCCGCGUGGAGGAAGAAGGUCUUCGGAUUGUAAACUCCUGUUGUUGAGGAAGAUAAUGACGGUACUCAACAAGGAAGUGACGGCUAACUACGUG
rnacentral:rRNA from 1 species